GCUGAGGGGGCGGGGACAUGACCAGUGACGUCACCGCCCCGCCUUAGAAAGGCUGAGGGAAAGGCCGGCAACACUGGCGAGGCUGCUCUUCCCCGAGGAAGGGGCGGAAAGACGCCUCCCGUCCUUCGUUGUUCCGCCCACUCCCGAUUACAUCACGUUCUGGGGCGUCGAGCUCGCGCUGCCUUCUUCCUUCAGCUCUGUCUGUGUCUUCCGCUGUAGGCUUGUCCUUCUGUGCUUGGGAUAUUGGAGGUGCGACGCUUCGUUCUCAGUUGUCCACAGGCACACCUGAGGCAGGUAGUGCCUCUCCGCGUGUCUCUCGUUUAUCGACAUAGGCAGGCAGCGCAGCUUAUUGCUAUGCAAGUAUCCUACACGUGGAUCUAAUUAAUGCUAAGUUGAAGAUAUGAAGGCUGCUGAAAAGCUGUUUCCUGUAGUUGACUCACUGCAACACCAGACUGAAAAACCUGUGGAAUUCGCCCGCAUAAAGUGUGUACAGUAUCAAGGAAUUUUGUCUGGAGUGGGUAGUACAUUGAUUGGAAGAGAUUGUCUUCAAAGGAAAACUAAAGAAGAAGAAAGUAUUUUUAAAAUAUGGAUUACUAAUUACUGGGUAUCUGUAAAUCAACACUUUUUUCUUUUAAAUUAGAUGUUUCCAGCAAGCUGAUCUCCUUGAAACAUUAACCCUAAUCACAUUAUGUUCAAACACUCAUGCAAUCUAGCUUUAUCACACAUUAUGUUGUAUGAGUUCCAGAUGCCUGUACUCAUACAUGUUUUUGUGUACAGGCCACUCAACUACAUAGUACAGAUAGGAAGUAUACAGCUGUACCUGUGUUCAACGUAACGUGAGAAUACCAGAACCUAUGUACACUGUACACUCAUGUGGAUGUUCAACAUAAUGUCUUAACAGAGCUUCUGUGCACACAAGUACAGAUCUGUACACAGGUACGACUAUUCACAUGUUAUGUUCAACACAGAUACAGCAGUUUUCACAUUUGACACAAUCACAUUUGUCCUUUACAGUGGUGGAGCAACACCAUUUUAUAUUACGGAUGUGGCUGCCUCUCAUUUAUUUAUUUAUUAUUUAUUAGAUUUCUAUACUGCCCUUCCAAAAACAGCUCAGGGCAGUUUACACAGAGAAAUAAUAAAUGUAGCCCCUAUGCAAUUAGUUGCUCCUAAGUCCAAUAGGCAUAAGUAUAUGAUUAACUCUGCCUAGUGAAGUCUUCACAGUUGAGAGCAGCUCUCCUGGAUCUUGGCCUUUCCUGACUUCCAAGUCUACUAGAGAAACUGAGAGGAGUCCUUAUACACACAGAACAUGCACAUUACCACUGAACUAUGGCCUCUUCCUUUUUGUGGAUCUUAGUUCAAAUUCCUCCAACCCAACCAAUAUAUUAACAGAUAAACAGAAGAGCUUCUUCUCUAGUGUUGCUGUCUUUAUCCUCAGCCAAUCUUACCUCUAAGUGUUACCUCUAGCACAUCCCUGACCUCCAGUUUGUCCUCCAACUCCUCCUAUCUGCUCAGACUGACCUCUGAUACAUCCCUGUCCUUCGGCUACCAGUUUUGAUCCCUAAGCCCUGACUGGCUGCCUGGUUCUCCUGGUCCUGGCUUCUAGUCUCAUACCACCUAGCAGCUGCUGGCUACAGCUCAGCCCUAACACACUAGCUGCCAAGGACCAGAAGACUGCCAUUCAAUGGGGGAGUUCCUUCUGUGGGCUGGCUGGCAUGUUGAUCGCCAGCCAGCUCCUACAUCCACCUGCAGUGACUCCUGCCCCCUCCCUCAGGAGGGAAAAGCCUUGAGCCUAGAUAAUAUUAUGCCAGGAGUCAGAAGACUCUGCCUUCUUACCCCCAUGUAACCCUUUUGUAAUUGUACCUUUGCAUUUUUAUUGGAAGCCUCUUUGGAAGCCAAUCUUGGAUGAAAAGUGA